GUAAUUCAGUGGUUGUCGUUUGUGUAUGUGUUAGAUAUUUGUUUUUCGUGCAUUUUUUAGUUUUCUCGUUUGAAUUGUUUUACAUUGUCAUAUCGGGGCCUUUUAUAGCUGACUGUGCGAUAUGGGCUUUGCUCAUUGUUGAAGGCCGUACGGUGACCUAUAGUUGUUAAUGUCUGUGUCAUUUUGGUCUCUUGUGGACAGUUGUAUCAUUGGCAAUCAUACCACAUCUUCUUUUUCAUAUUAGCACAGUUUUACCUAUUGUGCUUUUGUUGUUCUUACUGUUUUUGUCCUAAACUAGCUGGGUUUUUUUUCUGAACCAAACAGAGAUCUAUACAUUACAAAAGUGUCGCCUGCUUUACGGACUAUAAUUGAUUAAUGGGUGAUAGUAUUGAAGAUACAGUUGGACUAAACUCAACAUCAUCAAUUAUCCAUGAUAAUGGGGACAAGGUCAGAUAAACCAUACCACACGGACAUGUACACCAUUUACAAUCGUUCUCUACACUAUGCAUAUAGAAUUGGCCUAUUGCUUAUAGUAUACGAGAAACAAACCAAAACCUGAAAGCUUUAUAUUGACAAAUUGACCAUGAAUAUUAGGUCAAGGGCAUUUAAUGUAUGACAGACAUGUACACCUUACAAUCAUUCCAUGCAUCAAAUAUGGUUGACCUAUAGUUGUUAAUGUCUGUGUCAUUUUGGUCUCUUGUGGACAGUUGUCUCACUGGCAAUCAUACCACAUCUUCUUUUUUAUAUUGACCUAUUACUCAAAGUAUCUAAUAAAC
rnacentral:lncRNA from 1 species